GUUUAUUAGAACGUCCCUGUCUGGAGGGGGCAUACACAGGCGGAGAGCAAGCUGGACAGGAAGGGAGCAGAACUUCAUUCUUGCUCUCUGCCCUCUGGUAAGAUUGCACUCCCCAGUCUAAGGUGUGACUCAUUUCGGUCAAUGCCAGAUCGGGGGUUCCUCUGGAGGAGGUGUUUGCAGAUGUAGUUUAUAAUGGAAAGAAUGCCAUUCUCUUUGUACAGAACCUCAGCUGCAGCAUUGUUGCCCCUAUAAAGGAAAAACAACAACCACAACCUGCGACAAUUCUCCACUAACAAGUGGCCACAUGACAUUGCUGAGAGCUUGGCGAGAGAACAAUGUGGUUAGAUGUUUGGAACAAGCUUUCGCAACUUGCCGUGUAUGUGGAUAGGGAACGGCGUAUGUGGAAAUGUGAACAUCCCAAUAAUAAUUGCUUUCAAAUAUUGAGGAUGAAUAAUGGCCCCAUAUAUUAUUUCAGGUCCCUAUUUUCUAGGGUAUAAAGUGACAAGCUAUAAGGAAUGUCCAUGAAAUAGGCAGCUUGAAUUUAGGGGACCUGUAUAUUUUUAUUUUUAUAUGAUUUCAAACUUUGUCUUAAUUCAUG